UGCAGACCCCACCUUCCGUCUCCUUCCUGGCGACGGAUUCCACCUCCCGCCUCCGCCCCGGGUCGAACUCCGCGGGCCGCCUAUACCCUACCCCUGGCCAACACGAAGCCGGCUAUGAGUAUCCCAAGCUCCCCUCGUCCGAAACCCCACAAGAUCCCUCGAAUCGAGCCACCCGACCGCGCUGUCCCGCCCGUCCCGGUGACUCCGGCGACGAAUUCCUUCGGCAAACGGUGAGAGACGAAGCACCUCGUGGACUAGUUCCCCAGGAAGGACGACACGGACGGACGACAUUCCAAGACGCCGCCCCCGUAACCAUCUAUUCCGUCGAGCUCCGCUGCCUAGCCACGCGAUUGCCUUUUGUCCAAAUACCACAGAAGUACACAUUUAUAAGUUUUUCGCUGACAAGUGUUCUUUGAAAGCAUGAUCAAGUAGUGUCUGGAAUAAACUGGAGUAGAUUUUCCAACAAAACUGUGACGGUUUCACAUGAUAUAAAUAUGUCUGGAUACAAGAAGGACAAGAUUGGGGAGCUACGCUUCUUAUUUUCAAGCUAAAUCGUGCUUUAUGUGUCCAAGUGGAGCCCAAAAGAAAAUAAGUUUGCUGUGGGAAGUGGUGCUAAGUCUGCAUGCAUUUGCUACUACGAACAAGAGAACAACUGGAUUCAAUUCGGUACAACAGCAUCACCGAUGCAGACGACAUGGGGUUCAUCGUGCCAGGCACCUCGGUGUUGCUUCCAUGCGACGGCGGCAGCAGCUACAGAAACAACCACGAUGAACCCCUCUCCUUGCCUCCAGUGCUUGCUCUCAGCUCGUCGUGGCCAUCCUGCCAAGGCUAUGUCUGUUGUUCAUACAACAUGGAGGGUCGGUAAGGACGCCGUGGAUGCUGCAAGUUUGCUUGUCCCACAAACCCAGAGGCUGGGAUGCACACACCCGAAGGUCACCCUCAUCACCUCCUUCCCUUGCCCUGCUCCCCAAUUCGACGGCAAGGUCGCAGAGUAGCAGCACCCACGACCACCCUCCUCGGUCCUCCGCAUAUCUCAUACAUGAUUUAUGCUUUACGUGGUAUUGUAUGAUGUGCUAUGGAAGUAUAGGAAUUUGUUUGCAGCCCCCUUCAGAUCUAGAUAUUGAAUGAGUAUCUGGUAUGAGGAAAUGGAGGUGACGUUGAUCCCUAGAGGCCUAAUGUAUUUUUCAUUUCCUGCUUCGUACUUUGGAGAUGUACCCGCUUAAGGCCAAGGACCUCUUCAUGACAUAAGUAGACCAUGUCGAUGCACUAUGAGUAAAACAAUGAAUCGUCAGAGUUAUGAGAUGUAAUUCUGUGAAGCCCCUUUUUUAUGUGAGAAAUGCAACGUCUGAUUUUGGAAGCUUAAACCUCAUAUGGAAGGGUGAUUGUGAUUUCCAAAUGUUCUGAUUUUUGUCAUGGGAAAUGACAUGGGCUGAAUUUGGCAGCUGUUUUAAGGAAGGAGGGCAAUAGUGUUUCCAUAGUCUUUAUGAUUUAGCCUUAGCUUUACACCUUUGUAAUUUAACUGUCGAAGGUAAAACUAUGAUGGAAAUUAUUUUGAGUGUACUGGGAUUUAUGUUUCUCUCCUUGCCAAAAAACUGCAUAAGUGACAUGACGUAUAUGGUCUGGACAAAUGGUUCUGAUACUCCUAGGGAGGCUAUAGCCUUAUAUUUCUGUAUUGUGUUUUUGUUCAAUAGAAAAUAUGGUUUCAUGUGUA